CCAGCCGCGCUCCCGCCUGUUACCCGCCAGCCCCGCUGCCCGAAGGCUCGUGCACUGUGCAGCGAGACUGCUUCACGCGCUCCGUUCCUCGACUUACCUACCGAGGCGCACGCAGCGAGCGGAAGGCGACGAGUCGGGUCUCCCUCCCGAGGAUGGAAGAGGAGGUCAGAGGGAGAUGCCCGCAGCCCGAGGCUGAGGAACGAACCCGGGGCGUCAGCUAGGGCGCCGUGGGGUCCGGAAGGCCUGGCCGGCCCCUCCGCAGUGAGCAGGAACUCAGUGAACCGCCCGGAGCAGAAAUGGGACGCUCGGGGACCCACCCCCGCGCUCCCCCUCCCGCCCCCAAACUGCAGAUUUUUAAGUUGUGCAGACUUGCAAUAAUUCCUCAGAGCCAGCUGCUCCAAGCUGUAGGCGCCCGGUGUUCCCGCCCCACAGCACGCAAUGGGACAACCGCCCCCCACCCAGCGCCUGCUGCCCGCUGGCCUCAGACGAGCACCCAGCAGGACCACACAGAGGCCUGUCCCCUCUCUUAUGAAAGAGGAUCCAAAGCAUUUGUCUACACUGCUGUUUGCAAGCCUCUGAAGAAGAACUCCCUGGGUCAGUGGAGACAUCUCAAGCAAAUGCGGGCCUCGGUGCAUAUGUCUUCCAGGCUUCUAUAAUUCUGGCUUUGGACACUCUUGGUAACACCUACCAUAUUGGAUUUUCAUUGUUUAUUUUCAACUUGGCGCUGAACUCCUUGAAGGCUGAAUUUCUAGACCCUUUAAUAGGGUCUACGUGUUUAUGAGGUGAAUUACUGAAGACUCCACAUGUGCUUCUGAUAGAAAUUGAUAUACUUUAUUUCUUCCAUCAGGUAAAGAGAAAACAUAUCAACCAUCACAUCAAUCUCUGCUUGGAUGCCAGGCAGGUCGAGAUUAAAUCUAGUUAUUUAGCUAGAAUGCUUUUAUCACAGACUACUGCUCCAAUGAUCUCUCUUCUUUGACAAAACUAUUUGUAUGCUUAUUUAGAAUGCCCUGUUAUAUUAUUUUUAUAUUGAAAGUCCCUUAGGGGCGCCUGAGUGGCUCAUUCAGCUAAGCCUCCAACUCUUGAUUUUGGCUCAGGUCAUAAUCUUGGGGUUAUGAGAUCAAGGCCCUGGUCAAGCCUUGCGUUCAAGUGCAGAGUCUGCUUGAGAUUCUCUCUCUCCCUCUCCCUCUGCCCCUCCUCCAGCUUGCAUUAUCUCUCUCUCUAAAAUAAAUAAAUAAAUAAACAAACAAGUAAAUAAAUUCUUUAAAAAAAGUACCUUAAAUAUUUGUGGUCUUCAAGUCCAUAGACUUGAAUUCUAAGCUAUCUCUGCCUCUGAUCAACUCAGUGAUAUCUCCUCUCUGGCUCUCUAGACUUGACAAGAUGAUCCCCAAGGUGUUUGCCAGUUCUAAAAGCCUUACAGUUCACAGAUAAAAGGACAUUAUUUAUAAAUUAUUAAAUUUAAAAAAACCUUCUGUAACAGAAUAUGGCUUAAGUCUCCAGGCACAAAGGAAUCCUCUCUUCAGGUCGUUGGAGAUGUCCUCCAAGGAUCCUUGAGCAUUUCCCAAUUUGGGUUCCAUGGAACACCUGUGUCAGGUCAGAAGACUUUGGACAGGGCAGCCCCCCGAUGGCCCAGCGGUUUGACACCACCUUCAGCCUGGGGUGUGAUUCUGGAGACCGGGGAUCGAGUCCCACAUCAGGCUCCCUGCAUAGAGCCUGCUUCUCCCUCUGCCUGUGUCUCUGCCUCUCUGUCUCUCUCUGUCUGUCAUGAAUAAAUAAAAUAAUAAAAUCUUUAAAAAAAGACUUUGGACAAGCACAUACUAUAUUCCACCAAUGCCUGGCCCAUGCUUCAGCAUAGUUAGGGCUCUGUCUGAGAGGUCAAGCCAUGAAAAUACUCCAAGGAAUGGACUUCCAGAGUGCUCACAAUUGGACUGAAACUUACCUCUUCAGUCAAUUUUGGGCUCUUCACACUUUUCUCCCUGCCUCACUCACUCCACACAUCCUCCCCGACCCUGACACACACAUUGCCCACUCUUGCAUUCCAGCCUGACACAAUAGAUUCAUCUUUCCAUUGUGUUCAUGUAUACUCUCUGAGCCUUGGCCUUGUCCACAGCCUGUUCCUAUAUGUCCCCUUCCCUACCUGGCAAAUGCCAACUUCACCUGCAAUAUCAUUAUCACCCAUUCUUUUAGUUUUCCUUGAGCCACAAAUAGUUUUUAGUAAAUCCUUCUACUGUGUCCUCUCAUACUUCGUACAAGCCUCUAGUUAUAGUUAUACUCUUACAAUACGGGCACCUGUUUAGAUUGGAUCUUCUCUAUUAAGUUGCAGGCUCCUUGAAGGCAGACAUUAUGUGGUUUUGCUCAUCUCAAUAUCUUCAGAGCCUGGUGCAUUACAGAUGUUCAGUGACUACUUCAAGAAUAAAGAAGUAAAAAAAAAAAAAAAAAAAAAAAGAAUAAAGAAGUAGAUGAUGGAUGGAUGGAUGGAUGGAUGGAUGGAUGGAUGGAUGGAUGGAUGGGUCAUUGAGUGGAUGGGUGGAUGGAUAGAUGGAUGAACUAAGACCUUAGUUCAGACUUCAGGGAGAGUACAGGAAAACAACUCAGAGGCACCAAAGACCAGAUGGGUCAACCUCCUGUUUUUUCCUUCUCUUGGAGAGUUCUGUGCCUAUUUUAAUAAACCUCUAUUCCUGUGAUGGAACUUGGGGUCUAGCUUUCAUUACCAACUAGACAAGUGAAAAAUUUCUCCAUGGCAGAAGCCGUUAGACACAAUCCCAUGAUCUUUUCUGAUUCUUCAGUAAAAAUAUCCCCAAUGGUUACCUGGAUCAUAAGGUGACCAACUCUUCCAGGUUUUCCUAAGAUUGUCCCACUUUUAAAAAACUGAAAGUCCAGUGUCCCAGGAACUUCCUCAGUCCAGACAAACCAGGACUCUGGUCAUCCUAUUAGAUACACUGAGGCCCAGGAUAAAGCCUACAUGUCCAAGCCUCCCAUGCCAACAGGGGAGAGCACAUGACUGAGUUCUUUCAAAUGGGGUGGCAGUAGAAGAGGCCUAUUCAGUCUCUGGGACAGAAGGAAUUUUCUAUUAAAAUUUCUUUUGAAAAAAAAUCACAACUUCUUACUGCAGUGGUAAUAAGGAGGAGAUUGUAUUGUAUCAAGUUACAAUGGUGAGAAGAAACCAAAAGAUCUUUCUGGAGGAGCAAGACAGAAAGUCAACACCCUACUGUCUGCUGGGAGAUCACUCUCAAAUGCACCCCACUCUUCAUCCUUAUUUUUUUUCACUCUUCAUCUUUAAAUGCAGCUGCAAACACCCAUGAGUGUUGGGUAGCUGCACUGACUUCAUGUCUCUUGCCUUUUUCUUUUUUUCCCCUUGGUUGCAAAGAAUUAAAUCACUCACCAUCCCUCAGGUAUGGCAUAUUGUCAGCAGCAGUAUCCACAAAGCCUCUUCCUGUUUUUAUUGUUUAUUUAUUCCUUUAUUCCCCCUUCCACACUGGCAUUCCCAGCCCACCCUCCGUAGGCAGCCAUUCUAAUGAGUUUAUUGAUAACCUUCUGUUUCCCUGUGUCCUUGUAGAGGGUUGUUUUGAGUGCAUGCACUUUUAAUUUAUGCAAAUGGAAAUUUGUCCUUUAUCUUCAUCUUCUUGAGUGUUUCACUCCACUCGAGUAGUUUUGACCCCCAUCCCUGUUUGUUGCUUUGUGUGCAUCUGGUCUGCUCCUCUUUUUUUUUUUUUUAAUUUUGCACACCGUCUCCUCCCCAGUGGCGGGUGCUCAGAAUGCCCUACAUUCUCCACCACUACCACAGUACUUGAACAGGACAUCUUGCACGUGCCCAACUUAGGGACCUGGGAAGAAUUUGAGAGGGUCAUACGUACCCAACAGCAGCAUUGCUGGUCAUAGGGUAUAGGCAAGGCUGAGAGAAAUAUUUAGAUACUUAUAUGCCACUUGAUAAAUAGUCCUGCCCUGCCCCAAAGCUCCCUGAGCAUCCUUCCUGUUGUCUCAGCCUAUGUCCAGGAUCUCCCAGAACUUCCCACCAUCCUACAGCCGAAGGGCCAAUGCCUGGCCCAGCUACAGCUGACAGUCUUUCCAGCAGUUGUUAAAUAUUUUAACUAUUGCCCCUGGAUAUGCACAUACCUGACUCGAUGGUCCCAGUCCUUAUUUCUUCCUAGAGCAACAACAACAAAAACAAACUUACCCGAAGGACUCAGUCCAAUCUCUUGGACUUCUCAGGACUUGGAAUUCUCAGAGCCGCAGAAUCCCUGCUGAUGUUUCCAUCUGCAUUACUGGGGUUGCGUCCUACCCAAUGCUGUGCAGAGACGUGGGAGCCAGCAGCCUGUGACCGCUCUCCUGAUAUCAGAGCCAGCACCCAAGGCAGCUGUGCCAGCAAGUGAAGCACCUCUAGACUCAACCUCCUGGGUUUGACCUUGGCUCUGUUCCUCUCUAGCUGUGUGACUUGGAGCAUUUCCUCUCUCCCUGACCCUCAGCCUCUUCAUUGGCUAGAUGCUCCCUGACAGGGUGGGAGUAAAGUUCAAAUAAGAUAAUGACGAUACAGAACAAUAUAGAGGAAGGAAAGAAAAAGCCUCUUGGUAUCCAACUCAGCAUAAAAUUAUCUGUGUCGCCUUAGCCCUCACUGUGUCUCUGUGUCUCCCAUGUAAAAUGGGGAUCAUUAUCCCAUAUUGUAUCCCUCGAUUAUUAUGAGAUCCCACGUGCUGCCUUGACACUUUUGAGGUUCACAGGACUCCUGGAGGCUUAGCCAGGAGUUCUCCUGCUCUGGUCAGAUGUGCCCCCCCAACAUGGGGAAAGUCUCCCCUUCUGGCUAUUGAUUGGACCAGCUGCACCUCACCUGGUCCUCAACAUAAUGGGUUUUGCCUCCGGGCCAGCCUGUGGAAUUAUUCAAACAAGCCAAUCACAUUCUCCUGCAGGAACCAAGAGUCACCCCAUCUUCUCAUCACUACAAGGCCUGCCUCCUUGGAGCCUCUGCUGGUUCUCUCUGCUCCCAAGCAUUCCCAAGUGGCCUUGUGCAGUGUGUGGCAUCCCCCUCCCCCUGGCUAUGAGUACACGGGACUAAUAAACUGCUAUUGGUCUCAUCUGUCCUGGGUCGGAGGUCAUGUGUUCAAGACUCAUCCUAUUUAUGGGAAGAAUCCUCCUUCACCAACCAGGUGACUAGGAGGUUAUCAGAACAGGUACCUCUCUCAAAGAGUUGUGAAUCUGGGGCCUUCACCACUUCAUGGAGCUAUCAUAUAAAUGAACGCUAUAUGUUGCCAAUCACUGCAAUUCUUUUACGUGAGAGAAAAAAAAAAUAUUUGUG
rnacentral:lncRNA from 1 species